AGUGAACGCUGGCGGUAGGCCUAACACAUGCAAGUCGAACGGCAGCACAGUAAGAGCUUGCUCUUACGGGUGUCGAGUGGCGGACGGGGGAGGAAUACAUCGGAAUCUACUUUUUCGUGGGGGAUAACGUAGGGAAACUUACGCUAAUACCGCAUACGACCUACGGGUGAAAGCAGGGGAUCUUCUGACCUUGCGCUAUUGAAUGAGCCGAUGUCGGAUUAGCUAGUUGGCGGGGUAAAGGCCCACCAAGGCGACGAUCCGUAGCUGGUAUGAGAGGAUGAUCAGCCACACUGGAACUGAGACACGGUCCAGACUCCUACGGGAGGCAGCAGUGCGGAAUCUUGGACAAUGGGGGCAAGCCUGAUCCAGCCAUACCGCGUGAGUGCAGAAGGACUUCGGGUUGUAAAGCCCUUUUGUUGGGAAAGAAAAGAAGCAGGUUAAUCCCCCGCUGUUAUGACGGUACCCAAAGAAUAAGCACCGGCUAACUUCGUG
rnacentral:rRNA from 1 species